AAUAAAUGGCACCGUUGAUUUUUUCUCACAUGUUUGACCAUUCGUCUAAUUAAAAAAUUUAUGUAAUUAUAAUUUAUUUUGUUAUGAGUUCUUUUAUCACUCAUAGUACUUUAAAUUUGAUUUAUAUCUUAUAUAUUUGUAAAAAAAAAUUAAAUAAGACGAAUGGUUAAACAUAUGAGAAAAAGUAAACGGCGUCAACUAUU
rnacentral:pre_miRNA from 1 species